rnacentral:lncRNA from 1 species
CUCCGGUACGAAAUGAAGUGCUUCCUCUUCCCUGUUUUGGAGGUAAUUUAAUCUAUAACCUUGUUGGUCAUAUUGCGGAGUUUCAGCUCUAUUUUGAGUUAUUAGAUUUCAGGGUCCUCAGAAAUCUACGGAUAAAAAUGGAACAACGAAUUCCUCCUUCCUCUUGUCUCAGUAAAAAAGAAACAAAAGAAAUUCCUCCCUUCUCCACCUCAAACCCGGAUGAUUGUAAUGAAAGUUAUAGUCAGGUACAUGUUUUAUGGAGUAGACUCAAUUUACUGCAGUCUCUUUUCGGAAGCCUCCGUGUAUAUACUGGUCGAGCACCACGUGAGAUAUGGCCUUCAUGAAGAAGACUUCCAUCAGGAUUGAAUCUUGAAUUAGAGCUAAUUGGCAUGAGUCAAAACUAUGUCAUGUUUCCAUCCGAACAAAGAUUGGUAUGCUUCAACACAUAGGAAUCUAUCAACUCCUACCAUAAUUAAAAACUUAAAAAUAAAUAAAUAAAUAUUUAAAUAUUUAAAAGAAAAAUAAUGCAACUACCAAUUCCUACUAUAAGUAUAACAGCACAGCAGAAAGUAUUACAUCUCAAGAACAAACAACCAUUACCAACCAAACAAAAAGAAAUCUUAGCAAUACUAGCAUAACAAGCAAUGACCACCAAGAAAAAUCUCUAUUCUCCUGCAAGUAUGUUCAUAGUUAUUGUUGACUUAUCAAAAAAGAAAAAAUACAUCCAUCCUCUAUUUUACCAUUGCAACUGGCACAGAGUUAGUCGAUGCUUAUCCUUCAGAUAUUGUCAUUGCUUUUUCUUCCACAAAAAAAGUUCAAAUACCUCCACAUGGUCACAUCGAAAAAUAGAACUAAUCUUAAGAUAAAAGGUCAAGAAACUCAACACUAUUAUUCCUGAACAACUUGAAGACUACGGGAUAGUUUUUAGCAGUUGUCCCAAACCUCCUGGAGCAAUUGUGCAUAGAUGUCUAUGUCCAGACUUGGGCAAACGGUUGGCAGCAAUUUUAGGAAGUUUCUAGUAGUUGGGGGAUUUGUCCACUACCUAUUCAUGGCCAUGCUUGCUGGCCUUUGAAAGCCAGCAAUGUAAGUAUCUCUCAACGGGACUUAGAGAUUAUGGUGUUGGUCUCAUAAGCCUUUGUAUCUUGAUUGCUUGGGAAUUGAAAUGAUAGAAUUGAUGACUCUCUUUGUAUUUCUCAUAUAUUCGGCUUUACGUUGCUUGGUGUUGCAAUCCUUCAGGUGUGGAUUGCGAGAAGGCUGACUGAGCAGGGCAUCCAGUGCUGCACAAGACUGAAAACCUUAUGAAAAAUUAUGGUGCAAGAUUCAACCUUGUGAGUUGUAACAUCAAGCAUUACAUAGUGGAGUGACAGGCUGACCUUGGUCCCUGUCAUCCAAUCUCCUUAAUCUGUCUUAUUACAAUAAUACGGCAUAUUGUUAAUAUGAUAAACUAAUACUUUAC